rnacentral:rRNA from 1 species
GAUGAACGCUGGCGGCGUGCCUAAUACAUGCAAGUCGAGCGAACAGACGAGGAGCUUGCUCCUCUGACGUUAUCGGCGGACGGGUGAGUAACACGUGGAUAACCUACCUAUAAGACUGGGAUAACUUCGGGAAACCGGAGCUAAUACCGGAUAAUAUAUUGAACCGCAUGGUUCAAUAGUGAAAGACGGUUUUGCUGUCACUUAUAGAUGGAUCCGCGCCGCAUUAGCUAGUUGGUAAGGUAACGGCUUACCAAGGCAACGAUGCUUAGCCGACCUGAGAGGGUGAUCGGCCACACUGGAACUGAGACACGGUCCAGACUCCUACGGGAGGCAGCAGUAGGGAAUCUUCCGCAAUGGGCGAAAGCCUGACGGAGCAACGCCGCGUGAGUGAUGAAGGUCUUCGGAUCGUAAAACUCUGUUAUUAGGGAAGAACAAAUGUGUAAGUAACUAUGCACGUCUUGACGGUACCUAAUCAGAAAGCCACGGCUAACUACGUG